rnacentral:rRNA from 1 species
GAUGAACGCUGGCGGCGUGCCUAAUACAUGCAAGUCGAGCGAAGCGGGGACGGGUGAGUAACACGUGGAUAACCUCCUAUAAGACUGGGAUACCUUCGGGAAACCGGAGCUAAACCGGUAACUUAUAAAUUGAUCCUCGCUGGAUUAGCUAGUGGGUAAGGUAACGGCUGACCAAGGCAACGAUGCAUAGCCGACCGGAGAGGAUGACCGGCCACACUGGAACUGAGACACGGUCCAGACUCCUACGGGAGGCAGCAGUGGGGAAUAUGCCGCAAUGGGCGAAAGCCUGACGGAGCAACGCCGCGUGAGUGAUGAAGGCCUUCGGAUUGUAAAACACUGUCAGUAGGGAAGCGUUACCUAAUGAGAAAGCACCGGCUAACUCCGUGCCAGCAGCCGCGGUAAUAC